GUCGAUGGUAUACCGGUCUAAAAGUUCAAUCUCGAGAGUUUUGACUUAGUCCUGAGAGUUUUCACUCUCGGGGACUGGUCCCUGAUAUGAGAGACCGGUCCCCUCAGCACAGUGCUGCGACAGGGCUUGAGGCAACCGGUCCCUGGCGGGGAGAGACCGGUUCCCGAACGCUGGUUUUGCGGGACGAGCCGAGAGACCGGUCCCUGGCAGGGAGAGACCGGUCCCUCAGCGCUGAGCGGCCCAGAGCGGGCAGUGCACAGAGUGG
rnacentral:lncRNA from 1 species